CGUGAAACUGCGAAUGGCUCAUUAAAUCAGUUAUCGUUUAUUUGAUAGUACCUUACUACUUGGAUAACCGUGGUAAUUCUAGAGCUAAUACAUGCUGAAAACCCCAACUUCGGGAGGGGUGUAUUUAUUAGAUAAAAAACCAACGCCCUUCGGGGCUUCUUGGUGAUUCAUGAUAACUUUACGGAUCGCAUGGCCUUGCGCCGGCGACGGUUCAUUCAAAUUUCUGCCCUAUCAACUUUCGAUGGUAAGGUAUUGGCUUACCAUGGUUUCAACGGGUAACGGGGAAUUAGGGUUCGAUUCCGGAGAGGGAGCCUGAGAAACGGCUACCACAUCCAAGGAAGGCAGCAGGCGCGCAAAUUACCCAAUCCCGACACGGGGAGGUAGUGACAAUAAAUACUGAUACAGGGCUCUUUUGGGUCUUGUAAUUGGAAUGAGUACAAUUUAAACCUCUUAACGAGGAACAAUUGGAGGGCAAGUCUGGUGCCAGCAGCCGCGGUAAUUCCAGCUCCAAUAGCGUAUAUUAAAGUUGUUGCAGUUAAAAAGCUCGUAGUUGAACCUUGGGUCUGGCUGGCAGGUCCGCCUCACCGCGUGUACUUGUCCGGCCGGGCCUUCCUUCUGGAGAACCUCAUGCCCUUCACUGGGCGUGUUGGGGACCAGGACUUUUACUUUGAAAAAAUUAGAGUGUUCAAAGCAGGCCUUUGCUCGAAUACGUUAGCAUGGAAUAAUAGAAUAGGACGUGCGGUCCUAUUUUGUUGGUUUCUAGGACCGCCGUAAUGAUUAAUAGGGACAGUCGGGGGCAUCAGUAUUCAAUUGUCAGAGGUGAAAUUCUUGGAUUUAUUGAAGACUAACUACUGCGAAAGCAUUUGCCAAGGAUGUUUUCAUUAAUCAGUGAACGAAAGUUAGGGGAUCGAAGACGAUCAGAUACCGUCGUAGUCUUAACCGUAAACUAUGCCGACUAGGGAUCGGGCGAUGUUCUUUUUCUGACUCGCUCGGCACCUUACGAGAAAUCAAAGU
rnacentral:rRNA from 1 species